UAACUGCUGAGCUACAAUGGGAACUUCCAAAAGGAAAUCUUUUUAACUGAAUGAAUUUAGCUUCAUGAAAAGCUCUGCAUACUGUUUUUAUUUUUCUCGUUUCUCCUUGGACCUGUGAAAAUUGCAUUCCUUACUCAUACCCAUUAGCAAGGUUUCUGGGGCCUCGAUGUCACAGUCGUCCUGCUUGACUUGGAAGCAGCAGUGCAGAGGAGAAGAAUGAGCAUAGGUUUGGGAUCCAGAGUUGUGGGUUCAAAUGCUGAAUCCCCUGCCUGCCAGGUGGGUGACCUCAGAUAAGUCAUUGGUGGAUUAUCAGAAAGGGCUUUGAUGCCCACAGAUUUAGAUAUUCCAAUUCGGUUACUUGGUAGCUGAGUAAGCUUAAGCAAGUUACCAAACUUCUCAGUGGCUGUUAUCCCAUCAGUAACAUGGGAAUAGUGUGAGAACCAAGGAGGAGUAAAUGGGGGGAUGCCUGUAAGACACUCAGCACAGGGGUUCAUAUGGGACAUAAUAAACACUCAACAGCUGGUAGCUCUCUCUCCAGGGGUGAUUAUACUCAGUAGGGAUAUCAGUCCUUACUUCUUAAAAGGGUUACAAGGAUUUAAUGAGAUGCAUAAAAGCAACUUGUAGUGCCUAGCGCAUAAUUAAUAAUUUAAAAAAUUUGAGUUCUCUUUCUCCUCACCUUACCUCAAUGUCCAAAUCUGUAAACUAGGUCCAGUAAAACCCACUUACAUAGAGUUGAUGCAAGAAUUGAACGUAACAGUUAUAAGCAAGUGCUUUGCAAUCUGGGGCACUGUGUACACAUGCCUGUUGCAAUUACAGUGAUGGGCCCUGCCUGUGUUUAUAUAUUUGCAAGGGCCUCUCAGAGUACCAGAUGACUUAUUAUCAUGAUAAAUCAUAACCUCAUAGAGAAAAUUAGCCCAGGCCUAGAACUAAGGAUGAAAGUAGAAAGAAAUAAGUCUGGGAGACAGAAAACAAAAUUAAUAAAUAUUGAAAUGCAAACCCACAGCAUUUGGCCUGUAUCCUCCCUGCCCUAGAUCCUCUUGCAUUAUCUCAUUGUGAGAAAUGUUUGUGGGAAGCCACAGAUCUUUGCAGACUGAUAUAGUCAAAAAGAAAACAGCAUGCACAAAAUCAAAACUCACCCAGCCCUUUGCUCUCACUACUGUGCAUCCUCUCUGAAGCAGACAUUCCUAGCCUGGCAACAUUAGGAUUUGGCCCAGGCUCUCUGGGAACUACACUGACUCUUAGGUAUAUGUCAGGUCAGCUGUCCUGCUGAAAAAGAUCUGGAAUGUGACUUCUUCUUGAUCAUACAGGUUCUUGUCCUCCUCCCCAAAGUAGCUUAGUAGGCAUGAAUGCAAGAAAAGGAGUAAGUCAGCAAGGACAAUAAGCAGAGCAGCUGAAGCAAAGAGCAAGUCAAAACUGCAUCAGAAGAUGCUUGGUCACGUUGAGAUAGCUUGAUGGUCAGAGGCUGGAAGCAGGGAGACCACUGAAUAUUACUGCAGCAAUUCAGAGAGACACUUCUGGCUUCAAGGUACAGAACAGGGCUGUCAUUUUACACUGACCCUGGCCUCCAGCCUUACUUGGUUAGAUGUACAGCCACAGUGUCUUUGAAAGUAUCGCUUGUUGAUUCUUGUAAGUAACUAACUCAGUUUGAUGAAACACUUACCAUGUACCUGGUUUUUGUGAUAGACACAAAAGAAUGAAGGGAGCUGGGGUGAAAUUCAAGUCCUCACCUUCACACACUUACCACAUCCCACAGGAAGUGGGUUCGUCUGUGAAAAGGCAGCCAACCUUAUCAAUAGUCUUUGUUCAGUGCAGACAUGUAAGUACAGAAGGGCUUCCAGACAGGGUGAGAACACUUUCCUACUGGUGGCUGGGGGUGGGAGGGAUUGAAUUCUGGUAAGAGAGGACAGAGAAGGGUGCCCUAGGAGAGAGGAUGGCAUAAUCUGAGGCUCUGAAACAGGAAUGCUCCCUGUGGGCUCUGGAAGUGGUGGGCAGACCACUCUGCAUGGAGUGGGGUCUUUGCUUUGAAGAUAAUCAUGAGUGACAGGAAUGAAGGGGUAGGAGAGGAUCUUAAAUGUCACAUGAAGAAUUUGGGUUGUAUCCCAUUGGCAGAAAAGAGCUCUGAGUGUUUGGGGUGCGGGUGGGGAAUAAAUUCAGGAUGCAAUUUGGGGAAGAUUCUCUAUUGUGUGGAUUUGAAGGAUGGAGACUGAAGAAAGGGGCUCUCACUGCUCUCACUGAAGCUAUUAUUCAGUUAUUUCAAGACAAGACCCUGAAUCAACAUGGUGCCAGAAAGGGUAGGUUGGGAUAUGCAAGAAAUGUAGUGAAAGAAAAUAUACCAGGACUUUGCAAGUGGAUAUGAGGAUAUGAAUAUAAGAGGAGAUAAGAGGUUUUGGAAUUAGAUGACCAAAAGUAGAAUGGAGGUGAUUGGACAGAAGCGGUCAAUUCAACUGGGUGGACUAAGAGAAAGUGUGCCUUCGGAGCUCAAAUAUCAGAUCUAACUCUCUACCUGUGGAAGAGGGGGCAAGGUAUUUGUUCUUCCUGAAUCUCUAUUUGCUCCUACAUCAAAGAGAUGUCAAAGUACACACAUCAAAGGGGUGUUAUGAGGAGGGAGAAAAUAAAUAUAAACUAUCUGACAGGGUGGUUAGUCUCUUGCACCUGCUCAAUAACUAGGAGUUCCCUUUGCCUUCUUUCCUCUCCUCCAGUCCCAGGAAGACACACACCACACCCUCAUCUGCAUCUUCUCCCAGUCCCUGUGUGAGUUCUAAGCAGGGGAAGAGGGCUCAGCAAUUCCGGCAACUUGAAUUCUGCAGAGUGAACCGGAGAACUGAAGAAGGUAUCAGUCAGUCACAGUCAAGCCAGGGUUCCGAAAAUUACCUACUGAGAUGUUGGAACAUUUGAGAUUACAGCUUCUUCUUGGUUCUCUGCUUCACAACAGAAGAAUAUAUUUGGCACUAAGACAGAAACCCAAUAGGCUACUUGAUUUGUACUGACUAACUACAACCAGAAAACAUCAAUAGAAGUAGUAGACGUUAAUCUACUUUAACCCAGUUAUUUUGGAGAAACCUGCUGGGUAGCCUAACUCUGGACCUAUCUCUUGAGGCCUGACCAUCAUUUCAAGGGUCUGUGGCUAUCUCCAUCAAGGCCACGAAAGGGUGGACUCUCAGUCAUGGGGAACCAUUAGUCACUUCACCGGACCAG